UGCCAGCCGCCGCGGUAAUACGGAGAGUGCAAGCGUUAAUCGGACUUACUGGGCGUAAAGCGCGCGUAGGUGGUCUGUUAAGUCGAAUGUGAAAGCCCCGGGCUCAACCUGGGAACUGCAUCCAAAACUGAUUCACUAGAGUACGAUAGAGGGAGGUAGAAUUCACAGUGUAGCGGUGGAAUGCGUAGAUAUUGUGAAGAAUACCAAUGGCGAAGGCAGCCUCCUGGAUCUGUACUGACACCGGGGUGCGAAAGCGUGGGUAGCGAACAGGAUUAGAUA
rnacentral:rRNA from 1 species